rnacentral:rRNA from 1 species
AGCGAACAGGAUUAGAUACCCUGGUAGUCCAUGCCGUAAACGUUGGGCACUAGGUGUGGGGGAUAUUCCACGUUUUCCGCGCCGUAGCUAACGCAUUAAGUGCCCCGCCUGGGGAGUACGGCCGCAAGGCUAAAACUCAAAGGAAUUGACGGGGGCCCGCACAAGCGGCGGAGCAUGCGGAUUAAUUCGAUGCAACGCGAAGAACCUUACCAAGGCUUGACAUGGACCGGAUCGCCGCAGAAAUGUGGUUUCUCCUUUUGGGGCCGGUUCACAGGUGGUGCAUGGUUGUCGUCAGCUCGUGUCGUGAGAUGUUGGGUUAAGUCCCGCAACGAGCGCAACCCUCGUUCCAUGUUGCCAGCACGUAGUGGUGGGGACUCAUGGGAGACUGCCGGGGUCAACUCGGAGGAAGGUGGGGACGACGUCAAAUCAUCAUGCCCCUUAUGUCUUGGGCUUCACGCAUGCUACAAUGGCCGGUACAAAGGGUUGCGAUACUGUGAGGUGGAGCUAAUCCCAAAAAGCCGGUCUCAGUUCGGAUUGGGGUCUGCAACUCGACCCCAUGAAGUCGGAGUCGCUAGUAAUCGCAGAUCAGCAACGCUGCGGUGAAUACGUUCCCGGGCCUUGUACACACCGCCCGUCAAGUCACGAAAGUUGGUAACACCCGAAGCCGGUGGCCUAACCCCUUUGUGGGAGGGAGCCGUCGAAGGUGGGACUGGCGAUUGGGACUAAGUCGUAACAAGGUAACC